UUCCCGCGGCUAUGCGUGCUGGACGGUGCCUGAACCCGCCUUGUUGGUUCUUGACUGGGGUUAGCUAGCUAGAAUUAGAGCCUUCUGGCUAGCCUGUAAUUUAUGGUUGUAAUUACGUUGUGUAACAGCAAAAUGUCUAUGUACUUGUCAUUUGGUUGUAACUAACGUUUGUUUAAAUUGGCUAGCUAAUGUUUUGAAGAGAACAGGCUAGCGCCCUGUAGAAUCUAGACCAGAGUGGAUGCCCAGAUGUGAGGCUGAUGCAGUGCCCAGAUGAGAUGAGAGCAAUCUUCUACAGAAUCUGCCAAACACAACUCUGUCUCUGACAGCUUCUCCCUGUGCUGACCACCGAUGGAUCUUACACAUGAGAGCUGCCGUUGAUGGACUCCUGGUCAAGCAACACAGGGAGAAAGACAUCCUGAAGCGGGUGGAUGGGACAUACAGCUCUACCACCAGUGUCAUGACUGUGUCAUUAGCUGCCACAGCUAAACUAAUUUACUCAUGUUUAUUGCACCAUAUAGUAUGUUUUUUUUUAUCCAUACAAGAUCUAGGGCAACUCUGCCUCAGAGUGGUUGGCUAAGCUCCUUCCUGGUUGGCCCUGUCCGUUGAACAGCACCAGUGUCUCACAACCCCUCUGUCUCAGUCACCAGUAAUUAUGCUGCAAUAGUUUGUACCGGGGGCUAGGGUCAGCUUUUCUUAUCUGGUGUACUGUGUGUUCUUAGGCAUACUCUCACUAAUCCCCUCCAUUUGUCAACAACAGCUUCAACACAUCAUAGCAACAUGCUUGACUGAAAAUCUUUAAACAUGUUUAUAGACUUCAGUGGAGGCUGCUGAGGGGAGGACGGCUCAUAAUAAUGUCUGGAAUGGAGUCAAUGGAAUGGUAUCAAAUGUGAUUUCCAUGUGGUUGAUACCAUUCCAUUGAAUCCAUUACUGUGAGCCAUCCUCCCCUCAGCAGCCUCCACUGAUAGACUUUAUGGAGGUGAUGCUGUUGCCCAUCAAAUUUCAUAUGUUAUGCCAAUAUGUCAAAGUUCUCAAUUAGGAAGAUGAUGUUCAGAAUGACAUGUUCAUGACUGUUGAUGUUCACAGGACUCUCCAAUGCUAUGUUGAACGAGCACCACAGAUGAAAGCAGAUAGCUUCUCUCUACCACACCUUCACCAAGUCAUCCAAUUUUUGCUUCAUUUUCUAAAAUAAUUACAGAAUUCAUUUUGUUUCUAAUAGUUUUUUUUAUGCUAGAUGUGAGUUUAUUUAGCAGGUCUAUAAUGUAUUGUUUUGGAAUGUUAUUAAAUAUAUACUCAGUCACAA